rnacentral:rRNA from 1 species
GACGAACGCUGGCGGCGUGCCUAAUACAUGCAAGUUGAGCGAUGAAGAUUGGUGCUUGCACCAAUUUGAAGAGCAGCGAACGGGUGAGUAACGCGUGGGGAAUCUGCCUUUGAGCGGGGGACAACAUUUGGAAACGAAUGCUAAUACCGCAUAACAACUUUAAACAUAAGUUUUAAGUUUGAAAGAUGCAAUUGCAUCACUCAAAGAUGAUCCCGCGUUGUAUUAGCUAGUUGGUGAGGUAAAGGCUCACCAAGGCGAUGAUACAUAGCCGACCUGAGAGGGUGAUCGGCCACAUUGGGACUGAGACACGGCCCAAACUCCCACGGGAGGCAGCAGUAGGGAAUCUUCGGCAAUGGACGAAAGUCUGACCGAGCAACGCCGCGUGAGUGAAGAAGGUUUUCGGAUCGUAAAACUCUGUUGGUAGAGAAGAACGUUGGUGAGAGUGGAAAGCUCAUCAAGUGACGGUAACUACCCAGAAAGGGACGGCUAACUACGUG